rnacentral:rRNA from 1 species
UACGAAGGGGGCUAGCGUUGUUCGGAAUCACUGGGCGUAAAGGGCGCGUAGGUGGCGCUGCAAGUCGGUGGUGAAAGCUCGUCGCUUAACGACGAGUCGGCCAUCGAAACUGCAGGGCUCGAGCACUGUAGGGGCUAAUGGAAUUCCGGGUGUAGCGGUGGAAUGCGUAGAGAUCCGGAAGAACACCAGUGGCGAAGGCGGUUAGCUGGGCAGUUGCUGACACUGAUGCGCGACAGCGUGGGGAGCAAACAGG